AGAGUUGAAUUCAUUGUUUUUAUUUGUCUUUAUUUACAGCCAAGUACAUAGGGUGUGGUCAUUUCAUAGCACGAACAAAGGCAGGGCAGUAAAAAGCAAAGACGGGAAGAGGCAGCAUCUUCCAGGGAAAGAACAGCCUAGGUCUCUAGCCACCCAACCUUGCUCUGGAGGCAGGGCUGGGUAGGAACUCACUGCCCGAGAGAAACAGGACUCCG
rnacentral:lncRNA from 1 species